UUUUUUUUUAAUUAAGUGAUAAGUCCAAAAGCGGUCCCGAUCCAAAAAUCCAACCCAGCCUGGCACGCGCUUGAUUUCCAAUCCAGGAACACUACGCGUUCUGUUCUGUUUCUCCCGGAUCCCAAUCCAAGCACAAUUUAUGCAUCAUCUCAACAAACCUAGGUCCCAAGCAGCACUAUAAAUAGAGACCUGCACAACAC
rnacentral:lncRNA from 1 species